GGGCCAGUGGCGCAAUGGUUAGCGCAAUCGGCUUAUAUCCGAUCGGUUCCUGGUUCAAGUCCAGGCUGGCCCA
rnacentral:tRNA from 1 species